rnacentral:rRNA from 1 species
GACAGAGGGUGCAAACGUUGCUCGGAUUUACUGGGCGUAAAGCGCGUGUAGGCGGGCGACUAAGUCGGAUGUGAAAUCCCUGGGCUCAACCUAGGAACUGCAUUCGAAACUGGUCACCUAGAGUGAUGGAGAGGAAAGCGGAAUUCCCGGUGUAGAGGUGAAAUUCGUAGAUAUCGGGAGGAACACCAGUGGCGAAGGCGGCUAACUGGCCCAUUACUGACGCUGAGGCUCGAAAGCGUGGGGAGCAAACAGG